GAUGAACGCUAGCGGCAGGCUUAAUACAUGCAAGUCGAGGGACAGCACAGGUAGCAAUACUGGGUGGUAACCGGCAAACGGGUGCGGAACACGUACACAACCUUCCUUUAAGUGGGGGAUAGCCCAGAGAAAUUUGGAUUAAUACCCCGUAAUAUAGUUGAAUGGCAUCAUUUGAUUAUUAUAGCUACGGCGCUUAAUGAUGGGUGUGCGGCUGAUUAGAUAGUUGGCGGGGUAACGGCCCACCAAGUCUACGAUCAGUAGCUGAUGUGAGAGCAUGAUCAGCCACACGGGCACUGAGACACGGGCCCGACUCCUACGGGAGGCAGCAGUAAGGAAUAUUGGUCAAUGGACGCAAGUCUGAACCAGCCAUGCCGCGUGAAGGAUUAAGGUCCUCUGGAUUGUAAACUUCCUUUAUUUGGGACGAAAAGGGCCUUUCUAGGUCAACUGACGGUACCAGAUGAAUAAGCACCGGCUAACUCCGUGCCAGCCGCCUCCGUAAGAC
rnacentral:rRNA from 1 species